UACAGAGGUCCCAAGCGUUGUUCGGAUUCACUGGGCGUAAAGGGUGCGUAGGUGGUUCGUUAAGUCUGAUGUGAAAGCCCUGGGCUCAACCUGGGAAUGGCAUUGGAAACUGGCGACCUAGAGUGCGGUAGAGGGUAGUGGAAUUCCCGGUGUAGCAGUGAAAUGCGUAGAGAUCGGGAGGAACAUCUGUGGCGAAGGCGACUGCCUGGACCAGCACUGACACUGAGGCACGAAAGCGUGGGGAGCAAACAGG
rnacentral:rRNA from 1 species